UAAAGCGAUUCAGCGGGUUACGAUUGACGGAGCGAAGCGACGUCAAAGCGUAUACAAAGUCGAGUCGGUUUAAGGAUACGUUCGUUGGGUAGGGGAGCGUUCUGUAAGCCUGUGAAGGUGUGUCGUGAGGCAUGCUGGAGGUAUCAGAAGUGCGAAUGCUGACAUAAGUAACGAUAAAGCGGGUGAAAAGCCCGCUCGCCGGAAGACCAAGGGUUCCUGUCCAACGUUAAUCGGGGCAGGGUGAGUCGACCCCUAAGGCGAGGCCGAAAGGCGUAGUCGAUGGGAAACGGGUUAAUAUUCCCGUACUUGGUGUUACUGCGAAGGGGGGACGGAGAAGGCUAUGUUGGCCGGGCGACGGUUGUCCCGGUUUAAGCGUGUAGGUGUGUGUUCCAGGUAAAUCCGGUUCACUUUAACACUGAGGCGUGACGACGAGGCACUACGGUGCUGAAGCAACAAAUGCCCUGCUUCCAGGAAAAGCCUCUAAGCAUCAGGUAACAUCAAAUCGUACCCCAAACCGACACAGGUGGUCAGGUAGAGAAUACCAAGGCGCUUGAGAGAACUCGGGUGAAGGAACUAGGCAAAAUGGUGCCGUAACUUCGGGAGAAGGCACGCUGACACGUAGGUGAAGUGAUUUACUCAUGGAGCUGAAGUCAGUCGAAGAUACCAGCUGGCUGCAACUGUUUAUUAAAAACACAGCACUGUGCAAACACGAAAGUGGACGUAUACGGUGUGACGCCUGCCCGGUGCCGGAAGGUUAAUUGAUGGGGUCAGCGCAAGCGAAGCUCCUGAUCGAAGCCCCGGUAAACGGCGGCCGUAACUAUAACGGUCCUAAGGUAGCGAAAUUCCUUGUCGGGUAAGUUCCGACCUGCACGAAUGGCGUAAUGAUGGCCAGGCUGUCUCCACCCGAGACUCAGUGAAAUUGAACUCGCUGUGAAGAUGCAGUGUACCCGCGGCAAGACGGAAAGACCCCGUGAACCUUUACUAUAGCUUGACACUGAACAUUGAGCCUUGAUGUGUAGGAUAGGUGGGAGGCUUUGAAGCGUGGACGCCAGUCUGCGUGGAGCCGACCUUGAAAUACCACCCUUUAAUGUUUGAUGUUCUAACGUGGACCCGUGAUCCGGGUUGCGGACAGUGUCUGGUGGGUAGUUUGACUGGGGCGGUCUCCUCCUAAAGAGUAACGGAGGAGCACGAAGGUUGGCUAAUCCUGGUCGGACAUCAGGAGGUUAGUGCAAUGGCAUAAGCCAGCUUGACUGCGAGCGUGACGGCGCGAGCAGGUGCGAAAGCAGGUCAUAGUGAUCCGGUGGUUCUGAAUGGAAGGGCCAUCGCUCAACGGAUAAAAGGUACUCCGGGGAUAACAGGCUGAUACCGCCCAAGAGUUCAUAUCGACGGCGGUGUUUGGCACCUCGAUGUCGGCUCAUCACAUCCUGGGGCUGAAGUAGGUCCCAAGGGUAUGGCUGUUCGCCAUUUAAAGUGGUACGCGAGCUGGGUUUAGAACGUCGUGAGACAGUUCGGUCCCUAUCUGCCGUGGGCGCUGGAGAACUGAGGGGGGCUGCUCCUAGUACGAGAGGACCGGAGUGGACGCAUCACUGGUGUUCGGGUUGUCAUGCCAAUGGCACUGCCCGGUAGCUAAAUGCGGAAGAGAUAAGUGCUGAAAGCAUCUAAGCACGAAACUUGCCCCGAG
rnacentral:rRNA from 1 species